CACAUGCAAGUCGAACGAGAAAUCUUUAGCUUGCUAGAGAAAGUAAAGUGGCGCACGGGUGAGUAACGCGUGGGUAAUCUGCCUCCGAAUCGGGGAUAACAUUACGAAAGCGAUGCUAAUACCGGAUAAAAUCUGGUUGGCUUCGGUGAACCGGAUCAAAGGUGGUCUCUUUAUAAAAGCUACCGUUUGGAGAUGAGCUCGCGUACCAUUAGCUAGUUGGUGAGGUAAAGGCUCACCAAGGCGACGAUGGUUAGCUGGUCUGAGAGGAUGAUCAGCCACACCGGAACUGGAACACGGUCCGGACUCCUACGGGAGGCAGCAGUGAGGAAUUUUGCGCAAUGGGGGAAACCCUGACGCAGCAACGCCGCGUGAGUGAUGAAGGCUUUCGGGUCGUAAAGCUCUGUCAGGUGGGAAGAACCCACCAAGUGUUAAGACCACUUGGUGCUGACGGUACCACCGAAGGAAGCACCGGCUAACUCCGUGCCAGCAGCCGCGGUAAUACGGGGGGUGCGAGCGUUAUUCGGAAUCAUUGGGCGUAAAGGGCGCGCAGGCGGUUUUGUAAGUCAGAUGUGAAAUCCCGGGGCUUAACCCCGGAAGUGCAUAUGAAACUAUGAGACUUGAGUAUGGGAGAGGGAAGCGGAAUUCCUGGUGUAGCGGUGAAAUGCGUAGAUAUCAGGAGGAACACCGGUGGCGAAGGCGGCUUCCUGGACCAAUACUGACGCUGAGGCGCGAAGGCGUGGGGAGCGAACAGGAUUAGAUACCCUGGGUAGUCCCCGCAGUUAACCGUUGAUCCACUAGGUGUAACCGGGUAUUGACCCCUGCUGUUGCCGGGAUGUUAAGCAAUUAAAGUGAUUCGACCUGGGGAGUACGGAUCGCUAGAGUGAAACGCUAAAGGCAUGUACGGGGUCCAGCACCAAGGGUGGAAGCAAGUGGUUUAAUUGUGAUCGCUUUCCGUCGAAGAACCUUACCUGGACUUUGACAUCCCGGGAAAUUCCGUUGAAAAGACGGGGAAGGGCCUUUAACGAGGAAUCCGAUGACAGGUGCUGCAUGGCUGUCGUUCAGCUCGUGUCGUGAGAUGUUGGGUUAAGUCCUGCAACGAGCGCAACCCCUAUCUUCAGUGUACCAUCAGUUGAUGCUGGGGACUUUGGAGAUACUGCCCCAGGUUAACGGGGAGGAAGUUGGGGAUGACGUCAAGUCCUCAUGGCCUUUAUGUCCAGGGCUUACACACGUGCUACAAUGGUAUGUACAAAGGGAAGCGAUCCCGCGAGGAGGAGCUAAUCCCAUAAAGCAUAUCAAAGUUCGGAUCGGAGUCUGCAACUCGACUCCGUGAAGUUGGAAUCGCUAGUAAUCGCGGAUCAGCAUGCCGCGGUGAAUACGUUCCCGGGCCUUGUACACACCGCCCGUCACACCAUGAGAGUUGG
rnacentral:rRNA from 1 species